GGCCCAGACUCCUACGGGAGGCAGCAGUGGGGAAUAUUGCACAAUGGGGGGAACCCUGAUGCAGCGACGCCGCGUGAGGGAAGAAGGUUUUCGGAUUGUAAACCUCUGUCCUCUGUGACGAUAAUGACGGUAGCAGAGGAGGAAGCCACGGCUAACUACGUGCCAGCAGCCGCGGUCAUACGUAGGAUCCGAGCAUUAUCCGGAGUGACUGGGUGUAAAGAGUUGCGUAGGUGGCAUAGUAAGUAGCUAGUGAAAUCUGGUGGCUCAACCAUUCAGACUAUUAGCUAAACUGCUAAGCUCGAGACCGUUAGGGGUAACUGGAAUUUCUAGUGUAGGAGUGAAAUCCGUAGAUAUUAGGAGGAACACCGAUAGCGUAGGCAGGUUACUGGGACGGUUCUGACACUAAGGCACGAAAGCAUAGGGAGCAAACGGGAUUAGAUACCCCAGUA
rnacentral:rRNA from 1 species